CCCCCACCACCACCCCACCCUCAGCCUGCUGGCAACGAGAGCCCGGACCCCCGGUGAGCCAGGUGGAAUGAGUAAUAGAGUGUGGACACGAUAAUGGAAUGGCACAAUAUUACUCCAGCAAAAAUAUACAGCCGCAUCCGUUUCAGUACAAUGCACUCCUGAGCACACUAUGCAAAAAGUUGUCCAUUUUAAUGACGUUUAUUUUAUUUUUUUGGACCGUUGUUGCUUAGUCAGCAGGCCCACAGAAAGAGAGGGUAAAUAAACAUUCGGUGGGUCGGUGUGAUAUGUGGUUUUUGUCUCUGUUGUGUGUGUGUGUUAUGUAUGCGAGAUGUGUUUUGUGUGUUUGUGGGAUGUGUUUUGUGUGUGUGUGUUUCUGUGGAACGUGUGUUUUGCGUGUGUAUGUUACGUGUGAGAGCCUGUGUGUCUGUUUGUUAGAUGUUCGUCUGUGUGUGAGGUGUGCGACUGUGUAUGUGCGUCUGUGUGUGCAGGAGAUGUGCGUCUGUGUGUGAGAUGUGCUUGUGUGUGUGUGUGUGAGAUGUGCGUCUGUGUGUGAGAUGUGCGUCUGUGUGUGAGAUGUGUUGCAUCAUGCAUGUGUACGCCAGUGCGAGUGUCUGUGUGAGUGCGUGUGCGUUACCUUCAUGAUCUCCGCCAGGCGGGCAUUCUUCUUGGGGGCGAACAGGCUGGGGUGCAGGUAGCUGCCGUCGCCGUCUGCGUCCGAGUCAUCCGACGAGUCUGCAGGGAGGAGGCGGACGUUCAGCCUUCAACACUGACGUUGUGAAUAAAACAUGUUUGUGUAUCUUGGAUGCAAUGAUGACAGACUAAAAUUUCCAUUUGUAAAAUAAAGCUGUUUUUUU